GGCCUUGUAGCUCAGUCGGUAGAGCAGAGGAUUGAAAUCCUUGUGUCGGUGGUUCGAUUCCGCCCAAGGCCACCA
rnacentral:tRNA from 1 species